UACAGAGGCCACAAGCGUUAGGCGGAAUCACUGGGCUUAAAGAGCGUGUAGGCGGCCAGGUAGGUCCGGUGUGAAAACUCGAGGCUUAACCUCGAGAUGUCAUCGGAAACCAUCUGGCUAGAGUCCGGAAGAGGAGAGUGGAAUUCCUGGUGUAGCGGUGAAAUGCGCAGAUAUCAGGAAGAACACCAAUGGCGAAAGCAGCUCUCUGGGACGGUACUGACGCUGAGACGCGAAAGCGUGGGGAGCGAACAGG
rnacentral:rRNA from 1 species